GUAGGAGGCGAGCGUUAUCCGGAUUUACUGGGCGUAAAGCGCGUGCAGGCGGGUCCCUUAAGUCGGACGUGAAAGCUCCCGGCUCAACUGGGAGAGGUCGUUCGAAACUAGGGGACUUGAGGAUGGUAGAGGAGAGUGGAAUUCCCGGUGUAGUGGUGAAAUGCGUAGAUAUCGGGAGGAACACCAGUGGCGAAGGCGGCUCUCUGGGCCAUUCCUGACGCUAAGACGCGAAAGCUAGGGGAGAGAACGGGAUUAGAAACCCCGGUAUUCCUAGCCGUAAACGAUGUCAACUAGGUGUAGGGGGUAUCCAACCCCCCUGUGCUGUAGCUAACGCGUUAAGUUGACCGCCUGGGGACUACGGCCGCAAGGCUA
rnacentral:rRNA from 1 species